CCUACGGGUGGCAGCAGUAGGGAAUAUUGCUCAAUGGGGGAAACCCUGAAGCAGCAACGCCGCGUGGAGGAUGAAGGUUUUCGGAUUGUAAACUCCUUUUGUUAGAGAAGAUAAUGACGGUAUCUAACGAAUAAGCACCGGCCAACUCCGUGCAAGCAGCCGCGGUAAUACGGAGGGUGCAAGCGUUACUCGGAAUCACUGGGCGUAACGGGCGCGUAGGCGGGAUAGCAAGUCAGGUGUGAAAUCCGAGGGCUUAACCAUGGAACUGCAUUUGAAACUGUUAAUCUAGAGUAUGGGAGAGGUAGGUGGAAUUCUUGGUGUAGGGGUAAAAUCCGUAGAGAUCAAGAGGAAUACUCAUUGCGAAGGCGACCAGCUAGAACAUAACUGACGCUGAUGCGCGAAAGCGUGGGGAGCAAACAGGAUUAGAUACCCUAGUAGUC
rnacentral:rRNA from 1 species